rnacentral:rRNA from 1 species
UACGGGGGGAGCAAGCGUUGUUCGGAUUUACUGGGCGUAAAGGGCGCGUAGGCGGUCAGCACAAGUCAGUUGUGAAAUCUCCGAGCUUAACUCGGAAAGGUCAACUGAUACUGUGCGACUAGAGUGCGGAAGGGGCAACUGGAAUUCUUGGUGUAGCGGUGAAAUGCGUAGAUAUCAAGAGGAACACCUGCGGCGAAGGCGGGUUGCUGGGCCGACACUGACGCUGAGGCGCGAAAGCUAGGGGAGCGAACAGG